rnacentral:lncRNA from 1 species
UUUAUUUUUAACUUCGCUCGUGUGUUUAGUUGGCAAUCACAACUCUGAUUCUUUAAAGACAAAAUUGAGAUCAUCCACAAGCGAAAGGCUACAAUAAUCUCUCUCUCUCUUUCUCUCUCUCUCUAGAAGAUUUUGAGAAGUAUCUCAGAUCCAAAUCAAUAACACACUUCUGAGAUCCAAUCAGAAACAAUGUCUUCGACUUUCAGCGGCGAUGAAACUGCUCCCUUCUUCGGCUUUCUCGGCGCUGCUGCCGCCUUAGUCUUCUCCUGUAAGUAAACAAAACAAUGAAAACUGUUCUUUUUUUUGUAGAUACGAUCUUGAAUUUUUAAUUACUUUAUUAAAUUGGAUCAUUAUGUUGAAAAGUUCAUAUUUUUAUUCCUUUUUUUGGCUCAACGGUUCUGUGUUCAAAAUGUUCUUGAUACGGCUUUCUCGGCGCUGCUGCGGCCUUGGUCUUCUCCUGUAAGUAAACAAAACAAUGAAAACUGGUCUUUUUUUUAAGAUACGAUCUUAAAUUUGUAAUUACCUUAUUAAAUUGGAUCAUUAUGUUGAAAAGUUCAUAUUUUUAUUCCUUUUUUUAGCUCAACGGUUCUGUGUUCAAAAAGUUCAUGGUAGUGGUCAACUGUCUUCUUAAAAGUUCCGUACUUUAUCCUGUUUUAUGUUCUUUUUCCAUUAUCCAAUAUGUAUGCGUGUCUUUAGUAGUUUUGAUAAAUUUUUAUGUAUAUACUUUGCGCACACACUGAUUGUAUGCUUGAUCUGAGUUCAGUGUAUGCACAGAGGAGGAUCCAGGAUUUGAACUAUAUGAGUUCUUCAUUCUAGGAUGCGACCUCAAGUGCUAGUAAUUAGGUUCUGAAUUAACUUUUAUACAUAUUUAAUGGAUUUUAAUACUUAUACUGGGCAAAACUAUUGGGUUCUGCCGAAUCUAUAUCUUACCCCUGCAUAUGCGCGUUUAGUAUGUGUGUGUCUCGAACAAUGUCGAUAAUUGUAU